AAUGAACGCUGGCGGCGCGCCUAACACAUGCAAGUUGAACGAGAAUGUUCUUCGGAACUAGUACAGUAGCAAACGGGUGAGAAACGCGUAAGAAUCUGCCCAUCAGUGGGGAAUACCUUCGGGAAACUGAAAUUAAUACCGCAUAGACUCGUAAGAGUAAAGACGGCCUCUUGCUGUCGCUGAUGGAUGAGCUUGCGUCCUAUUAGUUAGUUGGUUAGGUAAUGGCUGACCAAGACGAUGAUGGGUAGCCGGCCUGAGAGGGUGAUCGGCCACACUGGGACUGAGACACGGCCCAGACUCCUACGGGAGGCAGCAGUGGGGAAUUUUGGACAAUGGGCGAAAGCCUGAUCCAGCAAUGCCGCGUGCAGGAAGAAGGCCUUCGGGUUGUAAACUGCUUUUGUACGGAGCGAAAAGGUCUCCUCUAAUACAGGGGGCUCAUGACGGUACCGUAAGAAUAAGCACCGGCUAACUACGUGCCAGCCGCCGCGGUAA
rnacentral:rRNA from 1 species